UAAAUAGCCCGGCUGACUUUUGUCGGCCGCUGGCUUCUUAGAGGGACUUUUGGCUCAAGCCAAUGGAAGUACGAGGCAAUAACAGGUCUGUGAUGCCCUUAGAUGUUCUGG
rnacentral:rRNA from 1 species